CGUGCUACCAUUCUUGGUUCUGCGUUCCCCUGCGGCUUCCAUGGAAGGGAUGGUGCAGCUUGCAUAUGAUGCAACGGUGAAGCUCAUGCUGUCUGCACUUGAGCGCAACCUACUCCCUGACGCCGUCACCAGAAGACUCACCCGCCUCCUUUUGGCUACUCGCCUUCGCUCUUCUUCCACCACAUCCUCGGAGCUUCAGCAUUUCAACCUCCUCCACUUCGCACACUGUACUAUUUCUUACCUUCUUCAUUUCUCUCGUCGCGAUUAUGAAUGCAACAAUCAAUCACUAUAACAUUCUGGGAGUCAAAAAAAGAAAAAUAACGAAAACAUUACUUUGAACAUCUUAAUGCAAUAAUGUGUUAUUUUUAGUUCAUUUGAUUUUGUCCGGUUAGUGAACAAUUUGACCAGGAAUUUCAUGUCUCACGCUCUUUUAGCUUUACGAGAGAUGCCCAUAGCAAUCAACACCGAGAAGCCAAAAUCUCAACAUUAUGAACUACCAACCGCUUUCUUCAAGCUCGUCCUUGGAAGCAAUCUCAAAUACAGGUACUUGUAAAAUGAUUUUGUUGUCGAUUGGUAACUUUACCUAAAAAAUUCCUUUGAUUCUGUGCUAUUAGUAGAUAGUGAUCAUGUUUCUUUGAUUUAUAUUUUCGAAAGUUGAUUUUCAUUUUAUAUAUAAAAAAAAAAAAAAGACAGAAAACAGACACUCAACUAAGCUGAUGUCUCAGUCUCGCCGCCUGCAGCACUCUUGAGGUAGGAUCACAAAAUAGGUACAGACGAUGAGAAAAUAUCUUUUAACUGUUUCUAUUUUUUGGUUUAUAAAAUAAGAUCAGUAAUAAUUUUUUAAACUGGUAGACUUUACAGGCGAAAUUGAUUUUUAAGUAGCAAGGAAGGAAUUAUUUUAAGUAACAGCUUUUAAAGACAAAAGACGAGAAGAAAAUCACAUAGGACCUAAACCUUUACAACAAAAUCUUCCUAAAAGGGAGUACAGGAUGAAUUGUGCGAACAGGGCACAGGGAACAGCCAUACCAGAUCUCACUUGAUUAGCUAAAACAGGUUUGCUGUACUGAUUAAGUUAUGCGUGCAGAAGUGAAAAGAUUCAUUAUAAACAAGUCAUUUUCUGUUGCAAAAUGAAUAUGAGGGAUUUAAGUUGUUACCAAAAUAAAUUACUGACAAGUAUGUGUGCAUGAAAGAAAAAUGAAGUACGCUCACAACCUUAUGGCUAAUAUACUAUUCCCAACUGCAUGAACUCCUGCAGCUGUUGCUAUUUCUCUUCUGCCUCAACGACGCUGGAAGAUGCUGAAGAAGCAAUGUUGAAACUGUACUGCGACAGAUCAAACCUGAAAGAUGGUCAUACGGUACUCGAUGUGGGAUGUGGUUGGGGAUCGCUGGCAUUAUACAUUGCCAAGAAGUACAUUAACUGCAGAGUUACAGGAAUCUGCAAUUCCACAACUCAAAAGGCUUACAUUGAGGAAAAGUGCCGGUAUGCUGCUUGAUAUCCCCUUCUUGGCUUUAAGGCCUUAUGCAUUGGCUCUGAAAAAUCUGAUCAAGCAGAUGACACUUUGGUGAAAACGAUAUUGAGCUUGCGAAUUAGAUAAAUAUUGCAUGAUGAUCAAAAUCACAUUCUUCUCCUCUCUUGUCAGGGAUCUUCAGCUGCAAAAUAUCAAUAUUAUAGUCGUUGAUAUUAGCACGUUUGAAAUGGAGGCUUCUUACGACAGAAUAUUUUCCAUAGAAAUGUUUGAGGUUAGGAUUUGUGAAUAAAUAAUUAGUGUCAACGACACGUUUUCUUGUAUUUUAGAGUCAGCUUUGACCUUGAUGCAGCAUAUGAAGAACUACAAAGACCUUCUGAAGAAGAUAUCCAAAUGGAUGAAAGAAGAUNGCCUUUUAUUUGUGNAUUACUUCUGCCACAAAGCAUUUGCCUACCACUUUGAGGUGAACCCAAUACUACACUGUUNAACNACUUGNCCAUUGNGAUGUUAUAUUUGUGAUAUAUAUUAGUCAAUGCAUUAACAANGCUAGUGAGNUUUCAANUUUUCAUAGAUNUAAUUCAUUUACCUACUACUUGCUACUUCUUCAUGAAGGACAAAAAUGAAGAUGACUGGAUUACAAGAUACUUCUUUACUGGAGGAACCAUGCCUUCAGCAAAUCUACUUCUUUAUUUUCAAGUGAGUUUCCUAUGCUUCUUGUGCCAGCUUUGUUAUUAACAAAUGGUAUCUCUGUAUCCCGUCAAAUGUUGUCUUGUGUUAUAUGAAGGAAAAAAACUGUCUCCUUAAAAGAAAAAACGGGAAAAGAAAGAAGUAUCUGCUAUACUUUUGUUUAACACCUUUAUAUCACGUCCAGAAUCAGCUCACUUGUAACCAACUGUCUUCUUUGCUGAUGGAUGUAGGAUGAUGUUACAGUCAUCAACCAUUGGCUGGUAAAUGGUAAACACUACGCACAGACCAGGUUAGAAUCAACUUCACUGCUAAAUGAACACCUUUAUAUCUGCUAUACUCCACCGGUAAUUGAUUCAUUUACAAAGCAAGUUCGAAACCACUUCUAAAAAAAAUGAAUACAUGUCGCAGUGAAGAAUGGCUGAAAAGAAUGGACAAGAGAAUGACUUACAUCAAGCCAAUUAUGCAAUCAACGUAUGGCAAUGAUUCAGCUACCAAGUGGACUGCCUAUUGGAGAACAUUCUUCAUAGCUGUGGGGGAACUUUUCGGAUAUAAUAACGGUGAAGAAUGGAUGGUUGCUCAGUUUCUUUUCAAAAAGAAAUGAAAUAAGCCAUAACCUGAUUUUUUAAUUUGAGAAGGGCUUCCAAACCUAUUUGACUAUUUGUCCUAACCAUUUAGGACAAAGAAAGCUGCCAAAUCGAAGUUGCACAUUUCAAUAAUGCUGUGUUUAUAAGUUAACUUAGUUUAUUGGGUUGUUUGACUUUAUUUUCUCUUGGUUCUCAAUCCUUUGCACUUUAGUUCAAACUUUAAUUUGGUUCUUCUAUGAUGUUAUACUUUGUAACAAACAUGGUAAAGCGCAAGGUAGAUGACCGUAUGCAUGCUCGCUCCAUUCUCAGUCUCCUUCCUUCCCCUGAAACUACAAUUUUAUCAUGUUUUUGAAUGAAAUGGUUUUUGCUUCCAAUUGCGGGGUUUUGGCAUUUUAAGUUUAUUUAAUGUUUUUUUAGUAGUAAUAUUUUUUUUUAUUGAUGUUAUUUUUUGUCAUCCAGAUUAUAUCGAGUGAUAUAAUUUUUUUAUGUUGAACAUUAAACAAGAUUGUUUUAAGUUAAUGCUAAUUAUAAUUAUUUAGAUUAAAAUGUUAUUUUUAUAACAUUAUAAUAGUUGAUAAUUUUUGUUUACUUUUUUUUUUUUGUCAUAAAAGUUAACCGAAUAUGCUCCCCAAUUGACAUUGGUGAAAAACAAUUCUUAUUAAUCUUAGCUGAAAAUUUUCUAGAUAACACUAAAAAAAUUAAUAACAAACGUGAAAAAUAAGGGUGUUGCUCUCUACAUCUCCCCAAGUAGGACCUGUACCUUCCUAUUAAUUUAAUUUAUUUCAAAAAUAUUUUAUAACUCUCCACUAUUUUCUUUUAUUCCAAAAAUACCCUACACCUCCCAACUAUCAUUAACCAUCUUUCUCUUUCUCUCUCUACAUUAAUGGAGCAUUUAUAUGGCUAAAUAAUAGAACAUUUACAUGACUUAAAUUUGAAGUUAGAUAUAUUUUCUUAAAUAAGUUUGAUUCAAUCUUAUUUUCNUUNUUGAAUAUAUUUUUUUCUUUUCAAAUUACUUAAUAAAUGGUAAAAUUUUGUUCUAAAUUUCUAGAAAAAUGUUUAUAUGCAUGUAUAUUUUUUUUUACAUAUAAUAUCUAUAAUUUUUAACAUUAUAUUAUGUUUUAAUUCACCGACAUGUUUGACUCAAAUAACUUGAAUAAAAUAUUUAAUUUAUUAGAUAAAUAAUAUAAAAAUAUUAUUAAAUACUUAAAAUAUAAAAAAAAAAAAGUUAUUUGUUAAAAAUUUAGAAUUUAUUUAGUUCUUUCGUCAUUAUAAAGUUAGUAUAUAAUAAUAAUAUAUCAUUAUUUACUAUUAAUAUUAUUAUGUUUAUUAUUUUGUAUUUGCAUCUAACUUUUAAUUUUAUAAAAUAGAAUUGGUAAAAAUACUAAUAUUGAAGUUUCCUCUUAAUUUUAUAUUUUGUAGUAUGUUACAAAUUCAAAUCUGAACCAUGUGAAUGCCCCAUUAAUGUAGAGAGAGAAAGAAAAAGAAUGUUAAGGAUAGUGGAGAGGUGUAGGGUAUUUUUGGAAUAAAAGAAAAUAGUGGAGAGAUGUAGAAUAUUUUUGAAAUAAACUAAAUUAAUGGGGAGGUACAGGUCCGCUUGGAAGGUGUAGGGAGCAACACCCGAAAAAUAAUACAUCUAUCGAUGAUAUAAAAAAAUUCACACCAACAAAAAAAUAAUAAUUAGACAUACAUCAAUUAAAAGAAAUCUAAUUUAUAUUCAUAACAAUUAUCUUAUCGAUCUUGACUAAGAAAAGUCUCACUAAUAUUAAGGAAGAAAUAAUGGUAAUUUACAAAACAAAAUUAUUUCAAUAAUUUAAAUAAUAAAAUAACUCUAUUAUCAUCAGUAAAAAGAAAAUCUUAAUUGACUGGGCAACGUGUGUGAUAGUUCCUACAACCAAUAACCUUAUAAAGUUUUGCAUCGAAAAAAUGCAAUUACUCCGAGAAUUUAACUAUUUAGAUCUUUUAAAAAAAAUUACGAGAAUUGAUAAGUUAUCUUUAGAAGUAACGACUUAAAAUGAUUAUCUUUAUUUUUUUAAACCUUUUUAUUGAAAAAUGGUGGUGACUUUUGUGAAAUCAUUAUUUAUAAGGUGUUUUUUUUUAUAUUUAAUAAAUUAUAUUUCUUUAUUUAAAUUUAAGAAAUAAAUUUUACAUUUAAAAGUUUUUUUUAUGUAAAAAUUUUUAAAUACAUUUAAGUGUUUAUAUUUUAUAAGAUGUAGUUAAACUUUUUUAGCCACAUACUUUGAAUAAAAUCUUUGAAACUUAAAUUGAGUUUUGAUUAUUGAAAGAUAGAAUAAAAAAUUAAAAUAAUUACGGUGAAUAUUUGAAUUGAAAUGGAAAUUAUUAUUGAAUACAAAUAAAUUAUGUUUAUUAGCAAAUGUUACUCUAAGAUAGUUUAUUUAGAAUAUCUAUAUUGAGGGAUGUAAAGAGCUAGGUUGAACCAUGCAACAUAAAAGGUAACAACAUUCAAGAUUUUAAAUAAGACUAUGAAAGAUAACGUUAAAAGAUUGUUUUUUUUAUCUUGAAAAUACGUAUUUAUGUAAUAACCUAAUAAAAUAUUAAUAAGAUUAUGAGUAAGACUUUAAUAUAAAAGUAAAAAUUAUGAAAAAGAAAAUAUCUUAAAUAAGUUGACACAAUUGAAUCUAUAGAAAUUAAAUUUAAACAUCAUAUAUUUUAUCUCAUAAGUUGGUCUUUUAAAUUAUGUUGGUGUUAUUCGAUGAUUUUCCAUGAUAUUGUCAAUCUCUCAUUCUUCAUUUGUAUAAUUAAGAAUUUAUAUAACAUAAUGAACUAAUAACAAUCCAUGAUAUCAUUUGAUAAGAUAAUUUCAUGCUAAAAAUAUAAAUAUCAAGACAUUUAUUCUUCCACUUUCUAUAGCAAAUAAAAUAAUAAUAAUUACUGCAAUUGUGUAAUUAUGACGAUAAAUGACAAUUUACUUUAUAACGGAGUUUUUUUAUUAAUUUUUAUAACUUUAAUGCAAAUUUUAAUAAUUUUAUAAUAAUAUUUUUUAAUUUUUUAUUUAUCAUGAAAAUUGGACGCAAAUAAUAAGAAUAAUAAUUAUUAUUAUUAAAAUAAUAAUAAUAAUAAUGCUAAUAAAAAAAAAGUACAGGUAGAUUGAAGAUAAGACACUUUCCGAAAAUUGUAGAACCGUAGGUGCUACGAUUCUUGCUUCUGCACCGACGGUUCCCUUGCGGCUUCCAUGGAAGGGAUGAUGCAGCUUGCGUAUGAUGCAACGGUGAAGCUCAUGCUGUCUGCACUUGAGCGCAACCUACUCCCUGACGCCGUCACCAGGAGACUCACGCGCCUCCUUUUGGCUACUCGCCUUCGCUCUUCUUCCACCACAUACUCGGAGCUUCAGCUUUUCAACCUCCUCCACUUCGCACAUUGUACUAUUUCUUACCUUCUUAAUUUCUCUCGUCCCGAUUAUGACU
rnacentral:lncRNA from 1 species